UUCUGCAGAGGCAGAAGAGACCUGCGCAGCGUCAGUACGUUCCUAUCUAGACUCCGAGGAUUUGCCCAAACUACAGCACUUUCAUUACGUCGCCAAAGGAGAGUCAGAGACUUCUUUUCCAAGAUGCACUGCAACCAGGAAGUUUGACUGCAUGCUGGGAAUUGUAAUUUAGCAUAGUGGGCAGGUAGGAGACAGGUUUUGUCCAGGCAGUCUGACCUAGUAGCUCUGCUGCAAGAAGGUGUGUGUUUUCAGCCUCAUAGCUGUUGCACUUGAGCGGUACCAGCAACCCUUCUCUGGCCAGGGCCCACCCUGAAGAUUUUGAACUUUCCAAGCCUCCAUAAUCAGCCAAGAUGUCUACCAGCAGCUCCAGAAUUAAAUCCUCAGUGGAAGGAGUUUCUUCCUGAGAGUUUCACCAAAAGUCCCAGGAAGACUCCCAGAGACCUGUCCUGGAGGCACGUGUGGAGAUACUGAGAAUGCGAUUGGCUGUCACUGCAGUGGCCUGAUGUCACCCUGGAGGAAGCCAGCUGCCUGGUCUUGAGCAACCCUACGGAGAAGUCCACAUGGGAAGGAACUGAAGCCUCUUCCCAUCAGCCUGUGAGAGAGCAUGGAAGUGUGUCCUCCACCCAGGCUUUCCGAUGACCGCUUUUCUGGCGGAACUAACAUCGAGUAGGACUCCUCAGUUCCAGCCUCCUGAGAGACCCUGAGCCAGAAGCAUCCAGCUAAGCUGCCCAUAAAUUCCCAUCCUCAGAAACUAUAGAAAUGUUUGUUGUUGCAAACUGAUCAUUUUUAUACAGCAAGUGUAAAAAACAAUAUCAAAGCAAGCCUAAGCAUUCAUCAAAACAUUUAUCAGAUUUUAAUAUGGGCACUGGAAAUGAAACUUCUCAGAAAUAAUUUUUUCACUUAAUUCUCACCACCAGAGGGCAAAAUAGUCACAAAUGAUAGCUUGAGUAAAGAAUUGAAAGACUUUCUAUUUCCAUGGGACUGCAGAAGUCAGAGAUUCAGAAAGUCCUUGGAGAUCAUGUGCUCCAGCUCUGUUAGGUUACAGAGGAGGAUUCUAAUGCCCAGAGACUUUAACUGCCUGGUGUGAGGUCACACAGACUGAAGACUAAAUGUACGUGCUCUGCUGCAUUUAAUAACAUGCACAUCCAGUAAUCGAAUCUCUUGUUUUUUUAAAAAUUACUAGGUAUGGAAUAAAGAGAAAAGCCUUUUUAAA